rnacentral:tRNA from 4 species
GGGCCGUUAGCUCCAAUUGGUAGAGCGGCGGAUUGUGGUUCCGUUUGUUACGGGUUCGAAUCCCGUACGGCCCA